rnacentral:misc_RNA from 1 species
GUGAGUCAUCGAAUCUUUGAACGCACAUUGCGCCCUUUGGUAUUCCGAAGGGCAUGCCUGUUCGAGCGUCAUUAUCACCCCUCGAGCCCCCGGGCUUGGUGUUGGACGGUUUGGUGAAGCCUCCGGGCGUCACCCCUCCUAAAGACAAUGACGGCGGCCUGUUGGAACCCCCGGUACAUUGAGCUUCUUAACUGAGCACGUAUCGGAUUUAGGGAACCCAGGCCCCGGUCUUCUCCCUUCAUCGGGAAAAUCCUUUUCAAGGUUGACCUCGGAUCAGGUAGGAAUACCCGCUGAACUUAAGCAUAUCAAUAAGCGGAGGA